rnacentral:lncRNA from 1 species
AUACUUGGUGAUGCCGAAAAGGAGCAACAGCUUAUACAACCUGUGGUUUCUUAUGAUGGACGGAGGACACCACCUUUACCUACCAGAUCAUUUGAUGAACGGAGGACACCACCUAUACCUACCAGAUCAAAUGAUGAACGGAGGACGCCACCUAUACCUACCAGAUCAAAUGAUGAGCGGAGGACGCCACCUAUACCUACCAGAUCAUAUGAUGAACGGAGGACGCCACCUAUACCUAUCAGAUCGUAUAAUCAUAAUGCUGAAGUUAACUACAACCACACUCCAAAGAACCCACAGAUUUCAGCAAUCAAGAUUCAAGCAGCUUAUAGAGGUUA